GGAUAACCUGCCCUAAGGAAAGGGAUAACCUCGGGAAACUGAGGAUAAUACCCUAUAGGAUACCGAUGCUGGAAUGCCCGGUAUCCCAAAGCUCCGGCGCCUUAGGAUGGAUCUGCGCCCGAUUAGGUCGUUGUUGGGGUAACGGCCCAACAAGCCGAUAAUCGGUACGGGUUGUGGGAGCAAGAGCCCGGAGUUGGAUUCUGAGACACGAAUCCAGGCCCUACGGGGCGCAGCAGGCGCGAAAACUUUACAAUGCGGGCAACCGUGAUAAGGGAACCUCGAGUGCCUGUACAUGCAGGCUGUCUGGGUGUCUAAAACACACCCAAAGAAAGGGCCGGGCAAGACCGGUGCCAGCCGCCGCGGUAAUACCGGCGGCUCGAGUGGUGGCCACUUUUAUUGGGCUUAAAGCGUUCGUAGCUGGGUUGUUAAGUCUCUUGGGAAAUCUGGCAGCUUAACUGUCAGGCGUCUAAGAGAUACUGGCAAUCUAGGAACCGGGGGAGGUGAGGGGUACUUCGGGGGUAGGAGUGAAAUCCUGUAAUCCUCGAGGGACCACCUGUGGCGAAGGCGCCUCACCAGAACGGCUUCGACAGUGGGGGACGAAAGCUGGGGGAGCAAACCGGAUUAGAUACCCGGGUAGUCCCAGCCGUAAACGAUGCGCGUUAGGUGUGUCGAUGACCACGAGUCAUCGAGGUGCCGAAGGGAAACCGUGAAACGCGCCGCCUGGGAAGUACGGUCGCAAGGCUGAAACU
rnacentral:rRNA from 1 species